GAUGAACGCUGGCGGCGUGCCUAAUACAUGCAAGUCGAGCGAACAGACGAGGAGCUUGCUCCUCUGACGUUAGCGGCGGACGGGUGAGUAACACGUGGAUAACCUACCUAUAAGACUGGGAUAACUUCGGGAAACCGGAGCUAAUACCGGAUAAUAUAUUGAACCGCAUGGUUCAAUAGUGAAAGACGGUUUUGCUGUCACUUAUAGAUGGAUCCGCGCCGCAUUAGCUAGUUGGUAAGGUAACGGCUUACCAAGGCGACGAUGCGUAGCCGACCUGAGAGGAUGGGGAGGCACACGGGAAAUGAGACGCGGUACAGACUAAUAAGGGAGGCAGCAGUGGCGAAUGAUGGAUGAUGGGCGUAAGCCUGAAACACUCAUGCAGCGUGGGAGAAGAAGGUCGUAGGAUAGUAAAGCACUUUAAGUUGGGAGGAAGGAAAGUAAGGUAACUCCUGGCUGGGUGGACGUGACGAACAGAAUAAGAACCGGCAAACUUCGGG
rnacentral:rRNA from 1 species